rnacentral:ncRNA from 1 species
AUUCACAUGCUACCGCCCGUGUAAAUAACAAUACAGGCGCUCGAUAAGAGUCUUGUAAUUGGAAUGAGUACAAUUUAAACCCCUUAACGAGUAACAAUUGGAGGGCAAGUCUGGUGCCAGCAGCCGCGGUAAUUCCAGCUCCAAUAGCGUAUAUU